GGGGCUGUAGCUCAGUGGUAGAACAUCUGCUUUGACUGCAGAAGGUCCUGGGUUCAAUUCCUAGCAGCAUCU